UGCAUCUUCUAUAUCUUGUACCAGCAGUG
rnacentral:piRNA from 1 species